rnacentral:rRNA from 1 species
ACGGAAGGCAGCAGUGGGGAAUAUUGCACAAUGGGGGAAACCCUGAUGCAGCGACGCCGCGUGAGCGAAGAAGUAUUUCGGUAUGUAAAGCUCUAUCAGCAGGGAAGAAAAUGACGGUACCUGACUAAGAAGCCCCGGCUAACUACGUGCCAGCAGCCGCGGUAAUACGUAGGGGGCAAGCGUUAUCCGGAUUUACUGGGUGUAAAGGGAGCGUAGACGGCAAGGUAAGUCUGAAGUGAAAUGCCGGGGCUUAACCCCGGAACUGCUUUGGAAACUAUCUCGCUCGAGUACCGGAGGGGUAAGCGGAAUUCCUAGUGUAGCGGUGAAAUGCGUAGAUAUUAGGAGGAACACCAGUGGCGAAGGCGGCUUACUGGACGGUAACUGACGUUGAGGCUCGAAAGCGUGGGGAGCAAACAGGAUUAGAUACCCUGGUA